rnacentral:pre_miRNA from 1 species
CGGCUUGCUCGAAACAGCGUCUCAGCUGAGACUGGGUGAAAGAAAGCACCGCCGAAGCCAGUGCACGAGCUUUGGCAGUGCUUUCUUUCAUCCAGUCUCAGCUGAGGCGCUGUUUCUACCAAGACA